rnacentral:lncRNA from 1 species
UCUGUGUGCUGGUCCAGGGGGUUACUCAUGUCGGUUAGCGACAUCUAGAUGUCUCGUGAUAAACACGGGGGGUCAAUGUCUUCGUGUAGCUCCCUGGUAACGGGAAAGCCCUUGACUCCUUUAAAGUGAGUGAUCUACCGUCGUAGGUGCCUUGUUCCCCGAGAGUGUUGAAGUGUCUCGUCGUAAGCUUCUCAUCGAGACCUUCUACUUGAGUAGUGGCCCAUGUAUGUCCUUCAUUUGUCUUCAGCCAUUUGUCUUUUUCAUCACGGACGCACGUUUCCAGCAUGUCUUUGGAUGCUCGACCUUCUAGCCUCUUCGUAGAUACCUCUGAAAGAGUCUGGGUUGGGCCUCGUCCAUAAAACUAAGCCUAGAGACAGGGGUUUCACCAUGGUCCAGUCAUGAUUUACGUCCUUGAUUGGGAAAAGGGGCUCUUUGAUUUCUCUUAUUGUCCAAAGGCUUCAUCGCGCUUGAACGUUGAUGCUGCUUGACCUAGUUGAUGUAGCCGGCAGAUGAGCAACGGUUGACUCCUAUUUCUUAUUCUUCAUUUUCGUGGCCACUCAAUCGUGGCGGUUCUUAACCUUGCUUGGGUAGGGUUGUCUUCUGCUGCUUGGAGGGUGCUUCGAGGAGCCCAUCUCCCUCAAGGUAAAACCUUACGCUUGAGAGGCAUGGCGAUCGGGGUUUUUGAGGGCUUAUCCAAACAGGACUAAGGUGCUUCUAACUUUUCUUGGACAAAUAAGAUUGUCAUCCCUGAGGACAACACCAUAUUUCUCCAUUCAUCACACAAGCAUUAUGCUCAUGGAAUGUAUGAGAGGAGUGAGCACUUGCCCUGGGUAGUUACUUGCCCAGGGUUUUAGUGGUGGUCGAGACAGAGUAUUUGCUAUAGUCUAAUGACUUAGAUCCAAGACCUAUGGUCACAAUCUGACCAUAUUAUGGCUAGGAAAAGCUCUAGGGUCUUAAGUAACUUAGGAUGUGAGUGAACAUCCAUCACCUUAUCCUUGAGCUCACUUUCUUAUAUGCCAAUAGUCCUACCAAAUCAUCCAAACUGAAUCAUCCAAUGUCAUAAAAGGUACCACGCCAUAUGUCAACUCCAACAUCACUAUGCUACUCAACUCCAAGGUUUGAAAGAAGGACUAAACCAAAACCACAUAAUCAUACUAUAACUAACUCAUGCGUAUCCCGAUGUAAAAAUCCUUGGGAAGCAUAUGAGAUGCUAAGCUUGACUAAGAUACUACCAUCCAAGUGCUUAGUAAAAUUAUCCAAGGCUAAGGUACUACAUUUCAAUGCUAAAGAAACACGUAUUAUACCAAUAUGAUAUCUUGUUUCCUUCCUACGAAUCCAAUCAAGUGGUCCAUCAAUCUCAUCAACCAUCAACUGACCCAUUACUCUUACAAAUCUGAUAUGGAUGGGGUUCUACCUAUUCUCCUAGAGUUCUCAUAAUCCACAUAUCAUUGCAAGGACUAUGUCAUAGUACACCCAACAACUUUCCAUACCACGACCAACUAAACUCCAAGGUCAGGAUUAUAUAGGUUUGUAAAUCAAUUGGACGACUCCAAUCACUUCUACUAUUACCCAUGGGGGAACAUGGUAUCAUAAUCAAGAUCAUCGGACCAAAUCUAAUUUACUCUGAACCAUGUGGUCUCAUGCACCAUCGACACUCUAUUAGGACUACCUAUUUACAUCCAAAUCACACGGCCAGAAGAACUCCUACUUGCUACUCCAAGUCAUUAUUAAUCCAUGACUUCUACCUGACAAAGUCAAUUUAUUAUACGAGUAAGAGUCUUAGCUCGUAAUCAUAAUUGUCCGACUGAAUCCAACUUACUCCUGGAACAUGCAGGUUAUGCUACUUUAUCAGUUUAUUCC